rnacentral:rRNA from 1 species
AUGAUCAUAUAUGGUAACACAUCUUGGGGCUUGUUUCUGGUAGCUGAUGCUGGUUUAAUGGAUGUUGUUCUGGAGGAGAUCAACGCGAUGCAUGUACAUGCCUCUCAGGCGGCAUCAUGCGAUGUUAGGGCACGCACAAGCAUCCCAUUGGUAAAACAAGAAGGUGUUGGAGAUGGUGAUGUGCAGGGGCCUGAUGAUGUGGUUGUGCGCAGGGUGGAGCGGAUAGAUGACGUGCAUCUAGAUGAUCAACUUGCUCGGCAACUUGAAGCAGAGCUGGAUGCGGAAUAUGAGAUGGAGAUAGCAUCCCGUGCACCGGCUGCGAGUGCGACGACGGGUUUGGUUCACGGGGUUAUUGACAUCUCUGAUGAUGAAAGCAAUGAUGAAGUUGAUAUGGAAGAAUGGUCUGAUGAUCCUGAGCACGCUAAGUUGUCUGAGACAGAUAGAAAGCUGAGGGAGCAAGAGCUGCAAGAUCCAGAUGUCACGAAAAUGUAUCAAGAAAUGUAUGAUAAAAAUGAUGGCCCGCGGGAAGAAGACUGA